ensembl:snoRNA predicted gene, 24067
UGCUCCCGUCUGGUGAUGAGCCCACCGCCCUGAGCUGCUGUGAUGCCGGCUUCAAAGUAAACGCUCUGAAGCGAUGGAGCAGC